CUUAUGUCAGCUGCCUGAACCCUACAGGAUGCCUGGUUUGGGAUUAUGUGUGUGAAAAUGUCACAUAUCCCUGACCUAGUUCUCGCUUACAUUACAACUGUGGGUUUGCCUGCCACCCUUGAGUUGGCUAUAUAGUUUGUUUGUAGACUGGCUUGGGAUAUAUGCAAGGCUUUUUAGGAUCACCCAUCUGUGGAUUAUGUAUAAAUUUGAGUGAUGUCAGAAAACAGAGUGAUUAUAUGGUUAUUUAGUGAAGCCAUGCAGAGCAGACACAUU
rnacentral:lncRNA from 1 species